rnacentral:rRNA from 1 species
AGCGGCGGACGGGUGAGUAACGCGUGGGAACGUGCCCUUUGCUACGGAAUAGCCUCGGGAAACUGAGAGUAAUACCGUAUGUGCCCCCCCGAUCAAAUUCCGUUUGGGCGACGGGAUGGUUGUUCUGUCGGAUGCCUGCGGCAUUUGAUGGGGGGGGAAAGAUUUAUCGGCAAGGGAUCGGCCCGCGUUGGAUUAGGUAGUUGGUGGGGUAAUGGCCUACCAAGCCGACGAUCCAUAGCUGGUUUGAGAGGAUGAUCAGCCACACUGGGACUGAGACACGGCCCAGACUCCUACGGGAGGCAGCAGUGGGGAAUCUUAGACAAUGGGGGAAACCCUGAUCUAGCCAUGCCGCGUGAGCGAUGAAGGCCUUAGGGUUGUAAAGCUCUUUCAGUGGGGAAGAUAAUGACGGUACCCACAGAAGAAGCCCCGGCUAACUCCGUGCCAGCAGCCGCGGUAAUACGGAGGGGGCUAGCGUUGUUCGGAAUUACUGGGCGUAAAGCGCACGUAGGCGGACGGACAAGUCAGAGGUGAAAUCCCGGGGCUCAACCCUGGAACUGCCUUUGAAACUGUCUGUCUUGAGGUCGGGAGAGGUGAGUGGAAUUCCGAGUGUAGAGGUGAAAUUCGUAGAUAUUCGGAGGAACACCGGUGGCGAAGGCGGCUCACUGGCCCGAUACUGACGCUGAGGUGCGAAAGCGUGGGG